rnacentral:rRNA from 1 species
UACGUAGGCAGCAAGCGUUGUUCGGAGUUACUGGGCGUAAAGGGUGUGUAGGCGGUUGUUUAAGUUUGGUGUGAAAUCUCCCGGCUCAACUGGGAGGGUGCGCCGAAUACUGAAUGACUAGAGUGCGGGAGAGGAAAGUGGAAUUCCUGGUGUAGCGGUGAAAUGCGUAGAUAUCAGGAGGAACACCGGUGGUGUAGACGGCUUUCUGGACCGUAACUGACGCUGAGACACGAAAGCGUGGGUAGCAAACAGG